rnacentral:rRNA from 1 species
UACGAAGGGGGCUAGCGUUGCUCGGAAUCACUGGGCGUAAAGGGUGCGUAGGCGGGUCUUUAAGUCAGGGGUGAAAUCCUGGAGCUCAACUCCAGAACUGCCUUUGAUACUGAAGAUCUUGAGUUCGGGAGAGGUGAGUGGAACUGCGAGUGUAGAGGUGAAAUUCGUAGAUAUUCGCAAGAACACCAGUGGCGAAGGCGGCUCACUGGGCAGUCACUGACGCUGAGGCGCGAAAGCUCGGGGAGCGAACGGG